UACGUAGGGUGCGAGCGUUGUCCGGAAUUAUUGGGUGUAAAGAGCUCGUAGGCGGUGUGUCACGUCGGCCGUGAAAACCUGCAGCUUAACUGUGGGCGUGCGGUCGAUACGGGCAUCACUGGAGUUCGGCAGGGGAGACUGGAAUUCCUGGUGUAGCGGUGAAAUGCGCAGAUAUCAGGAGGAACACCGGUGGCGAAGGCGGGUCUCUGGGCCGAUACUGACGCUGAGGAGCGAAAGCGUGGGUAGCAAACAGG
rnacentral:rRNA from 1 species